UACAGAGGGUGCAAGCGCUGUUCGGAAUUACUGGGCGUAAAGGGCGCGUAGGCGGCCACCGCAAGUCAGUUGUGAAAUCUCUGGGCUUAACCCAGAAAGGUCAACUGAUACUGCGGGGCUAGAGUGCAGGAAGGGGCAACUGGAAUUCUCGGUGUAGCGGUGAAAUGCGUAGAUAUCGAGAGGAACACCUGCGGCGAAGGCGGGUUGCUGGGGCUGACACUGACGCUGAGACGCGAAAGCUGGGGAGCGAACAGG
rnacentral:rRNA from 1 species